UGAUUAUCUGGCCUUCAGAAAAGCCCUUUU
rnacentral:piRNA from 1 species